UACGGGAGGUAGCAGUGGGGAAUAUUGCACAAUGGGCGCAAGCCUGAUGCAGCCAUGCCGCGUGUAUGAAGAAGGCCUUCGGGUUGUAAAGUACUUUCAGUCGUGAGGAAGGUGUUAAGGUUAAUAACCUUAGCAAUUGACGUUAGCGACAGAAGAAGCACCGGCUAACUCCGUGCCAGCAGCCGCGGUAAUACGGAGGGUGCGAGCGUUAAUCGGAAUUACUGGGCGUAAAGGGCACGCAGGCGGUUAAUUAAGUUGGAUGUGAAAUCCCCGGGCUUAACCUGGGAAUGGCAUUCAAGACUGGUUAGCUAGAGUCUUGUAGAGGGGGUAGAAUUCCAUGUGUAGCGGUGAAAUGCGUAGAGAUGUGGAGGAAUACCGGUGGCGAAGGCGGCCCCUGGGACAAAGACUGACGCUCAUGUGCGAAAGCGUGGGGAGCAAACAGGGAUUAGAUACC
rnacentral:rRNA from 1 species